UUGGAGUUAGACAAGAGAGGAAUUUUGGGUGCUUGUGUAAGACAGCAACAGACUACUCAAGGCAUUCAAGUCUAAAACCCCUCCCACUUCUCAUCUGUAUACCAAUUUGCAAAGUUUCUUCUCAUUACUCCACUUGAAAAUGAUCUGAACAUUCAGUUUUAGAGAGACAGAAUGCACUGGACAAUUAAAGAGAUAAUUAUUUUCCUG
rnacentral:lncRNA from 1 species